UCUUAACCUAACAGAAUAAAAAAUAUAAAGGUGAGUGCAUAGCACUUCCCUUCUCUUCCAACCUACCAGGCAAAAGAUAGAAAAAAAAAAAUAGAUAAAGAAUUAAGGUGAGUGCAUAGCACUUCCCUUAUCUCCGGCAAAAGAUAGAAAAGAAAAAAUAAAGAAUUAAGUUGAGUGCAUAGCACUUCCCUUGUCUCCUAACCUACCACGCAAAAAAAAAAAUAAAUAAAUAAAAUAAAAUAAAUAAAGAUAAAUAAAUAAAUAAAUAAAAAUAAGUAAAAACCUCCUUACCACCUCGGACCUCGGGAGAGCAAGGGAGGUGAGUGCACAGCACUUCCCUUCUCUCCCCAAGUCUACGGACUGCCAGACCAAAAAGAAUAAAAUAUAUAUAGGUAUAAAAAAUAAUAAAAGUAAUAAAAAAAGAUAAAUGAAAAAAAUAAGUAAAUAAAACAAAAACAAUAAAACUCCUACUCCCAACUGACCCAACAAUACCCAACUACUCCCAACAAUACCAACUGACUGACCCUGACAACCCCAAAGACCACCACCCACCUGGGAAGCACGGGAGGUGAGUGUGCAGCACCUCCCUACCCUUCCCAGUCUCCCAGUUUGACUUUGACCACCAAUCUGACUCAUCCUACCAACUCCAAAGAGCAACUCCAACUGUACAGACCACCACCACCACCACCCUUCUGAUCUCGGCAAGGUGAGUGUGCAGCACCUCCCUACCCUUCCCAGUCUCCCAGUUUGACUUUGACCACCAAUCUGACUCAUCCUACCAACUCCAAAGAGCAACUCCAACUGUACAGACCACCACCACCACCACCCUUCUGAUCUCGGCAAGGUGAGUGUGCAGCACCUCCCUACCCUUCCCAGUCUCCCAGUUUGACUUUGACCACCAAUCUGACUCAUCCUACCAACUCCAAAGAGCAACUCCAACUGUACAGACCACCACCACCACCACCCUUCUGAUCUCGGCAAGGUGAGUGUGCAGCACCUCCCUACCCUUCCCAGUCUCCCAGUUUGACUUUGACCACCAAUCUGACUCAUCCUACCAACUCCAAAGAGCAACUCCAACUGUACAGACCACCACCACCACCACCCUUCUGAUCUCGGCAAGGUGAGUGCGUAGCACUUCCCUGGACUGACCCUGACUGACUGACCCUGGCAACUCCAAAAACAACCAACCUGAUGACUGACUUACAGAUAUGUAAUCACCUAACUGACUGGCCCUAGGGAGCAUGGGAGGUGAGUGUGCAGCACCUCCCUACACUUCCCAGUCUCCCAGUUUGACCUGACUCAUCCUGGCAACUUCAAAGAACAACUCCAAAUGUACAGACCAACAGUACCUCCUGCUCUGUGUCCCACUCUGACCCUGAUCCAUACAUCCCUACAUCCUACCCUGUCCUGGCUAGGUGAGUGCGUAGCACUUCCCUACCACCUGCCUUACUGACCCUGGCAACCAUAAAAACAACCAACCUGACUGACCUACAAAUCUUACUGUAAUCUGGCAACAGACCACCAAACUGACUGACUCUGGGGAGCAUGGGAGGUGAGUGUGCAGCACUUCCCUACCCUUCCCAGUCUCCCAGUUU